GAGCGUAUAGCUUAAUGGAUAAAGCAAUUGUCUAACUAACAAUCAGAUGCGGGUUCGAGUCCCGCUACGAAAACAA
rnacentral:tRNA from 1 species